UAAGGAAUAUUGGACAAUGGAGGCAACUCUGAUCCAGCCAUCCCGCGUGGAGGAAUAAUGCCCUAUGGGUUGUAAACUCCUUUAGACAGGGAAUAAAUCUGUGGUUUUAACCGCAGUUGAAGGUACCUGUAGAAUAAGCACCGGCUAACUCCGUGCCAGCAGCCGCGGUAAUACGGAGGGUGCAAGCGUUAUCCGGAUUUACUGGGUUUAAAGGGUGCGUAGGCGGACUAUUAAGUCAGAUGUGAAAGCUUGCAGCUCAACUGUAAGAUUGCGUUUGAUACUGGUAGUCUUGAAUGCGGUGGAGGUUGGCGGAAUCAAUCAUGUAGCGGUGAAAUGCAUAGAUAUGAUUGAGAACACCGAUUGCGAAGGCAGCUAGCCAUACCGUGAUUGACGCUGAGGC
rnacentral:rRNA from 1 species